UACGGGGGGGGCAAGCGUUGUUCGGAAUUACUGGGCGUAAAGGGCUCGUAGGCGGCCAACUCAGUCGGACGUGAAAUCCCUCGGCUUAACCGGGGAACUGCGUCCGAUACUGGAUGGCUUGAGUGUGGGAGAGGGAUGCGGAAUUCCAGGUGUAGCGGUGAAAUGCGUAGAUAUCUGGAGGAACACCGGUGGCGAAGGCGGCAUCCUGGACUACUACUGACGCUGAGGAGCGAAAGCCAGGGGAGCAAACGG
rnacentral:rRNA from 1 species